rnacentral:rRNA from 1 species
CAGCCGCCGCGGGAAAACGGAGGGGGCUAGCGUUGUUCGGAAUUACUGGGCGUAAAGCGCACGUAGGCGGCUUGGUAAGUCAGAGGUGAAAGCCUGGAGCUCAACUCCAGAAUUGCCUUUAAGACUGCCGAGCUAGCAGGUGAGAGAGGUAAGUGGAAUUCCGAGUGUAGAGGUGAAAUUCGUAGAUAUUCGGAAGAACACCAGUGGCGGAGGCGGCUUACUGGCUCAUACUGGACGCUGAGGUGCGAAAGCGUGGGGAGCAAACAGGAUUAGAUACCCCCGUAGUCCCUGUCUCUUAUAA